rnacentral:rRNA from 1 species
UCUUGGCUGUGGCAUCGAUGAAGAACGCAGCGAAAUGCGAUAACUAAUGUGAAUUGCAGAAUUCAGUGAAUCAUCGAGUCUUUGAACGCACAUUGCGCCCGCCGGUAUUCCGGCGGGCAUGCCUGUCCGAGCGUCAUUUCGACCCUCGCGCCCUCCCCAGGGCGCGGUGUUGGGUGCCCCCGCG